AGGCCUCUUUCUCCUCCCUGCCUAACUGGUGAGGUGGGACUUCAAUGCCUUUUAGGUUUACAGUCUUUUCCUCCCCACGGCUUCUCUUUCCUCCCCGUCUCAGGCACUGGGCAUUUCCAGUCGAUCCAGCAGGUCUGGCUUCUCUCACAUAUGCAGUAAGGGUUAGGGGAGAAGGUCCCAGCUCCUCUUGUCUCUAGCAGAGUGUAAACUGGCUCUGCUGAGGAGGUGGCUGUGCUUUUAUUCCUUCUCCUGAGAACUGUUUAUAUAUUAAGGAGCUUCACAGCCUCCAACAUAAGGAAAGCAGGCCUCAAACUUCUUCAUGGGAAAAGAUGGCUUCUCUUUUUUAAUUGAAUGAACUAGAAGAAGUUCAUUGUUAUUCAUCAACUUCAAAGAGACUAUAUGAGGCCCCUUGGCCAGGACUACAGAGCAGUAUUUUUUAAUCAGAAAUUAUAGCCAAAAAGAAGAGACCAGAACACAUGGGUCUCCAGCGUACCAGGAUUUGUGAAGGCCUGAAGUUCGUAGAAUGAAAUCUAUGUGGAGAUGAUUUAAAAGAACGGUUUCACUGAGACCAACACAUAUAAACCAAGUCUACACAAGAAACAAAGCUAAAAUCCUUUCGAAAUGAGUUCCUUUAAGUUCUUCAGUAACUAAAUCCUCCAGAAAGGAAAGCCGAGAGAAUCUAGUCCUAUACAAUAACACCCUCUAACAAAGAUCGCUAAAGGAAGAUUUUAGUAGAUGAAUAUCUUCAAUAAUACAUGGUCACAUACAUGUAUCUGACCAUAUGAUGGCUCUCUGCACCAAAUUCCUCCAAACUAUUAUAAUAUGUAUUGUCUGUAGUGCUAUUUAUUUGGCAGUUAAUCAUGUAUUACAUUGUGACAUUUCUUACAGUGAACCAUUAUGUAUGUGUUUAUGUUCUGCCCUCAACUACUCAAUGCCAGUACCUUAUUCUUAACACAGCAACCACCCUUUCUGGUCUGUCCUCACACCCUCAUUCCCAUCAUAGUUAUUCUCCUCUCUCAUGGAAAUGUUCAGUUUCUGGACAUCUCCUUUCUCUUCCAUUCUUCACCUGACCUUCCUUCCUUUCUUGGCCAGCCUGAAUAUUAUAAAGGGAAUUUUAUUUCAAACCCAGGAUCGCACUUAAGAGGAAAAGAAACAAAAGCCAGUUCUUUUUAUUGCACAUAGAACAAGGAGAAACUCCACCCCUUUUGUUGUCUGGUAUGUUUAAAACAAGAAAGAACUUUAGAAAAGUAGGAUAUGAGUGAAAAUUACAACCAAUGUUGAGAACUACUUUUUAAUUUUUUAUUACAAAAUUAGGAUGAUAC
rnacentral:lncRNA from 1 species